rnacentral:pre_miRNA from 22 species
CGCUGUCCCGGGCAGGAUAUCAUCGUAUACUGUAAGUUGGCUAUGAGACACUACAGUAUAGAUGAUGUACUCCCCGGGCUGCAC